rnacentral:rRNA from 1 species
AGUAACGCGUGAGGAACCUGCCUCAAAGAGGGGGACAACAGUUGGAAACGACUGCUAAUACCGCAUAAGCCCACGGCUCGGCAUCGAGCAGAGGGAAAGGAGCAAUCCGCUUUGAGAUGGCCUCGCGUCCGAUUAGCUAGUUGGUGAGGUAAUGGCCCACCAAGGCGACGAUCGGUAGCCGGACUGAGAGGUUGAACGGCCACAUUGGGACUGAGACACGGCCCAG